CAAAGGAGCAAUCCGCUGAGAGAUGGGCUCGCGUCCGAUUAGAUAGUUGGCGGGGUAACGGCCCACCAAGUCGACGAUCGGUAGCCGGACUGAGAGGUUGAACGGCCACAUUGGGACUGAGACACGGCCCAGACUCCUACGGGAGGCAGCAGUGGGGGAUAUUGCACAAUGGGGGAAACCCUGAUGCAGCGAUGCCGCGUGAGUGAAGACGGCCUUCGGGUUGUAAAGCUCUGUCGCAGAGGACGAAAAUGACGGUACUCUGCAAGAAAGCUCCGGCUAACUACGUGCCAGCAGCCGCGGUAAUACGUAGGGAGCAAGCGUUGUCCGGAAUUACUGGGUGUAAAGGGAGCGUAGGCGGGAGGAUAAGUUGAAUGUGAAAUCUAUGGGCUCAACCCAUAGCUGCGUUCAAAACUGUUCUUCUUGAGUGAAGUAGAGGCAGGCGGAAUUCCUAGUGUAGCGGUGAAAUGCGUAGAUAUUAGGAGGAACACCAGUGGCGAAGGCGGCCUGCUGGGCUUUUACUGACGCUGAGGCUCGAAAGCGUGGGUAGCAAACAGGAUUAGAUACCCUGGUAGUCCACGCGGUAAACGAUGAUUACUAGGUGUGGGUGGACUGACCCCAUCC
rnacentral:rRNA from 1 species